rnacentral:rRNA from 1 species
UGGGGAAUAUUGCACAAUGGGCGCAAGCCUGAUGCAGCCAUGCCGCGUGUGUGAAGAAGGCCUUCGGGUUGUAAAGCACUUUCAGCGAGGAGGAAGGUGGUGAGCUUAAUACGCUCAUCAAUUGACGUUACUCGCAGAAGAAGCACCGGCUAACUCCGUGCCAGCAGCCGCGGUAAUACGGAGGGUGCAAGCGUUAAUCGGAAUUACUGGGCGUAAAGCGCACGCAGGCGGUUUGUUAAGUCAGAUGUGAAAUCCCCGGGCCCAACCUGGGAACUGCAUUUGAAACUGGCAAGCUAGAGUCUCGUAGAGGGGGGUAGAAUUCCAGGUGUAGCGGUGAAAUGCGUAGAGAUCUGGAGGAAUACCGGUGGCGAAGGCGGCCCCCUGGACGAAGACUGACGCUCAGGUGCGAAAGCGUGGGGCAGCAAACAGGAUUAGAUACCCUGGUAGUCCACGCUGUAAACGAUGUCGAUUUUGGAGGUUGUGCCCUUGAGGCGUGGCUUCCGGAGCUAACGCGUUAAAUCGACCGCCUGGGGAGUACGGCCGCAAGGUUAAAACUCAAAGGAAUUGACGGGGUCAUAGCUGUUUCCU